AUUUUUCAAUUGUUGUGUCCUAUUUUUGUUAUUGAAUUUUGUUUAGAAACAAUUCCACUCUGAGGUCUGGAGAAUUCAGUCUCAGUAAAUCAGGAACCUACAACUGUGAUGCUCCUUUAAUCCUGGUCAAAUCCAUCUUCAAGGCGAUGAAACGACUGGAACCCAAUCCUGAUUUUGUAGUCUGGACCGGAGAUAACGGACCACAUGUGGAUGACCCGUCUCCUAACUAUCCGUAUAUAACAAACGUGACAAGUUUUGUUUUCUCUGAACUGAAAAGAAUGUUUGGAGAUAUUCCUGUCAUCCCUGCUCUAGGGAAUCAUGAUUCAUACCCAGCUGAUUCCUACAAUCAAGAUUCUGAUCAAUAUAAUCUUUAUUAUGAUCAAGGAGGGUUCAAGGAUCAUGUAGGAGGGGGUGCGAGCAAAGAUACUUUCCUAAAAUGUGGAUACUAUACAAAGACAAUCAAUGUUAUGGAAAAUGCGCUGAAGUUUAUAGUUCUGAACACUAAUCUCUACUACAACAACAUAGUCAACUUCACAGAUUCUGACCCCUGUGAUCAAAUAUCUUGGUUAAACCAAACUCUGACAGAUACCCUGGAGAAUGAGAAGGUGUACAUAGUAGCUCAUGUACCGCCUGGUGUGUACGAAAGAACUCCGAAUAUUAAUUUCUUCAAUACUCCAAAAGAUGGGAUUGGAGAGCAGAUAGAGAAAAGGUAUGUCAGUCUGGUUGUACAGCCGGGAGUACAUGAGAAGAUACAAGCUCAUAUUUAUGGUCAUGUACACACGGACUCUUUCAGAUUGUUCGUGAGUCGGAGUGGAGAUGAUGAUGUGCGAGGUGUUGGAUAUCUAGGUUCAAGUGGAACUCCGCUCCUUUACGAUCAUAAUAAACCAAUCGGAGUCAACCCAGGCCUUCGUCUUUUCUACUUAAAUGAUGGUGGUGGUUUACAGGAUUACUCUCAGUUUGGAUUAGACCUGGAGAAGUUUAACCUGGCGGACCAGGAUAAAAAGUCUCGUCGUAAAGAUCUGGAUAACCCUACAAUCCUGGACACUGACCUGAUUAACCCUACAACCCCUGGACCGGACAGUAUUGCCCUUGUAACCCAGAAACGGGAAAAAAGAGACUCUCCACGAAAAAAACGAACACUGAACCGAAGGAGACGGGAUUCUCCCGCAUUCCUAGACGGUUUACCGCCUUCAGAUACAGAAAAUGAAGGAAUGGUGGGACCUCUCUCUGAUAUUCUGCUGAGUAAAAGUCCUCAACAGUUCGAGCAGGCAGCCAGCCUACUUCAGGAUAGCAGCACAAAGGCUAGCCUAGUGGAGCCCACUACUUCCAAAAAUCUUCUGGGCUAUCCCGGAGAAAACCCAAAAACAUCCAAUAAUACCACCUCUGACGCAAAAUCAAAAAAGCUUGGAUAUAACGGUGAAAACCCAACACCCGGAGACGUUACUCCAUCCAAGAAUACCACAUCUGAAGCAAAAUCAAAAAAGCUUGGAUUUAAUGGAGAAAACCCAACACCCAGAGACGUUGUAUUGUCCAAAAAUACCACCUCUGACGCAAAAUCAAAAAAGCCUGGAUAUAUCGGAGAAAACCCAACACCCGAAGACGUUACUUCAUCCAAAAAUACCACCUCUGACGCAAAAUCACGGUUACCUGGAGACCUUGGUGAAAAUUCAACGACUGAUGCUAAACAAAUAAAUAUCACCACUUCUACACCAGACGCAAAUAACGCAAUUGCUGAAGCAGGUAAUGCUACAAUAGACGGAAAUACUGCAACAGCUGACGCAGAUGCAGCACUAGUAGACGCAAUGUCAGCUGAAUUUAUUCUGCUCUACAACGCUACUGACGCUUUUAAUAUCAAGGACUUAUCUGCUUCUGAAAUGGCAAAGGGCUACCAGAAUAUGUUGGAGAAUAGGAGUAUGUUUAACCAGUAUUACCUGCACAACACUGUAGAUCAUCUAAUAGGAGAUGGAGUUUGUGAUGAAGUCUGCUUCAGGGGUCAUAUGUGUUCCAUCAAAUUUCAAGUUUUUGAAGACGUCAAAACGUGUUUGAAUUCUACUAGUGAGAGUAUACUAAAUAUUGGUUUUUCAAUUCCCUCUCUUGAACCUGUAUCCACUACACCAUCUACCACCACUGCGUCCUCAGCACCUGACUCUUCUCCACCUUAUGCUUUUAUAGCCUCCACUACUUCUUCGACAACCUCCACCUCUUCAACAACAACCUCCACUGCUACUUCGGAGGAUACAACGAUUUAUGAAGAAGCCUCCGACAAAUUUCUAGAUAAUGGAGAUGUACUCUCCGAACCUGUUGAUCCUGGGUUUGGUCGUGUGUCCUCUAAGGUUGCUGGUGUAUUCCUGGGUGUAUCUGGAUCCAUUAUUCUUCUACUCAUCCUUGGCUUCGCAUACAGGAAAUAUAGAAACAACAGGCAACGAGAUCAAGAGUUUCUGCUGACGGACUCAGUGUUCCGCUAUGACGGCUAUAGUCAACUGGACGACGAUUUUUAAAGGACUUAUGAAGUUUUAUAAAAUCUGGCUGAGUGUUAGUAUCCAGUGUCAACUGUAUCAAAUUAACAUUUUUUACAAACAAAUUUAUGUAACAAUUUCAUUAAAAACCUGUGUAUUAUUUGUAAAUUAUAUCAUACACACUACACAGCUCAACUGCUACAGAUUUUUUUGCGCACCAGUGCUUUUGUAAUUCCUGGGCUAUCAUUAUUUGAAAAUUUUAUUUGCGAUUGCACAAUCGACUCCAAUUAGGUCUGUGAUAAUUGACACUUAAAAAUGUCUAGUAUUGGCUGUAUAGUGUUAAUCUUGAAUCAGAAAUAAAAGAAAUUUUAUGUAAUAAUAAUAAAUUUGAGGAUUAUAUCUCAAUUACUGUAAUAUAGUAUCACACUGUACAUAUAUAAUCAUGUGAAGCAUACUGUUUCAGUUUUAAUAAAAUAUUUUCUAUUCA
rnacentral:misc_RNA from 1 species